rnacentral:rRNA from 1 species
UGCGUAGGGUGCGAGCGUUAAUCGGAAUUACUGGGCGUAAAGCGUGCGCAGGCGGUUUGUUAAGACAGGCGUGAAAUCCCCGGGCUCAACCUGGGAACGGCGCUUGUGACUGGCAGGCUAGAGUACGGCAGAGGGGGGUGGAAUUCCACGUGUAGCAGUGAAAUGCGUAGAGAUGUGGAGGAACACCGAUGGCGAAGGCAGCCCCCUGGGCCGAUACUGACGCUCAUGCACGAAAGCGUGGGGAGCAAACAGG